ensembl:lncRNA
UUAUAAACCUGACCUUUUUAGAGAGAGAGAGAGAGAGAGAGAGAGAGAGAGAGAGAGAGAGAGAGAGAGAGAGAGAGAGAGAGAGAGAGAGAGACUCAUUCACCGCGUCUCUCCCCUCUGAUCGUGAAUACGAGUUUCUAGUUGUUACGUUAAUCUCACCCCACCCUGGAACGCUUAUUUUGUUGCGUCUACAGACUAGACCCCUCGGUCAUCCGUCGACGGACGGAGGUAGUGUGAAUGCGCCCUGGCCUGAAUACGCGCGGACCAUGGACCUCUAAAGACCGUUUGGAAUGCGCCCGGACCGUUUUGAGUACACCAUCCGGGUCCUUUCAGUGCACUGCUUUCCCCCCGAUCGUAAUUGGAACGCCCUAAUCAAACUAAGUAUAUCUGUUUGUGUUGCAAUGGCCAUGAGACAUACCAUUGACCGCCAGCAUCCCAGCUACAAAGAGGGGAAACGUAAAUUGCUUGAAAGUAAACAAGACCACCUUAUAGCUGAAGCUGAGAGAGCCGUUGAGGAGAGGAAACGUGCGCGUUCUGGUGGAGGACCUCCAUGUGGCUCCACUAGUGACGGUGCAAGACGAGAAAAGUUUGUGGAGAGGCUUUCAUCUCUAAAUGCCUCUGGUCCUUCUGCCAAGCCUCAAAGAAGCUCUGCAUCUUCAUGGACUUUUCGGCAGCAGAAAGCCUCAGAGCGCUGGACAGAAGCACGACCAAACCACCUACAAGGCCUCAUUGAAAAGGAGGCUGUUGGUCAUCCCUUGUGUUGCCUCUGCCCCAAGCCGGCUGUUAUUAGGUGCAGAGAGUGUCUCCCUGAAGAGUGGUUCUGUGGGGACUGCGAUGUACUGCAUCACAAAAAACAGCCACUCCACAACAGGGAAUGUCUGAUACGUGGGUUCUUUGAACCCAUUCCUCCAACCACACGCGUCAUGAAAGGGGAGGAUGGAUAUUUCACUCAGGAGCAAGCUUGCAUCUUGCCAACUGUGAGUGUGUCAAACUGCGUCUGCGAUGGCACAACCUUCACUGUGUUACCAGGCAAACCAGUGAUUUUAAUUAACAUCAAUGGACGUUAUGACUUGCAUCAGCCACUGUAUGUAUGUCAGACGUGCCAGCAGCAGAGGACCCCUGACAUGAAGCACUUCCUUCAGAGUGGAUAUUGGCCAGCCUCUCUCAAUACUUCCACGUUGUACACGUUGGACCUCUUGAGCUCCUUUCAGGAACUGAAAGUAAUCUCUCCGGGAUUCUCCAGACAGGCCUUCGCAAAGCUCCUGGAGCAUCGCACCAAGUGUGGAGGACGA